UACAGGGGGGGCAAGCGUUGUUCGGAAUUACUAGGCGUAAAGGGCAGGUAGGUGGUUUGGUAAGUCUAUUGUGAAAGCUCCCGGCUUAACCGGGAGAGGCCAAUGGAUACUGCCAAGCUUGAGUAUAGGAGAGGUUACUGGAAUUCCCGGUGUAGCGGUGAAAUGCGCAGAUAUCGGGAGGAACACCAAUGGCGAAAGCAGGUAACUGGACUAUUACUGACACUCAACUGCGAAAGCUAGGGGAGCAAACAGG
rnacentral:rRNA from 1 species